GGAGGUGUGGCUUCAGUGGUAAAGCACCUACCUAGCAAGCUGGAGGCCCUGAGUUCAAGCCAUAGUACUUCCA
rnacentral:tRNA from 1 species